rnacentral:lncRNA from 1 species
CUAAGAUCUGGAGGAGGUGGAGGGGCCAGUGCUGCAAUGACGUCCAGGCGGAGGGAGCAGGAAGUGCGAACGCCGAGAGGUGGGAAUGAGCCCGCAGUCGAUUCACUGUCGGGACAACCAGAGGAGUCCAACCUUCCACUCCGGCUUCCAGGACAGAAGAGCUGUUCUCAGAAAAGGCCCUGAGAUGAGAGCUGCCACUUGAGGGUCAUACGAAGCAAAUCCAUGAUGGAUGCAUUCUGCGGCAGCUCACAGAACAUCCACGUGCUCUGGUUCCUCAUAAGCAAGGCUGUGGGAGAUAUUUACACAGCUCCUGCUAUGAUGGACCAGGCAGUCUGCCAGGCUCCUGGGCUAUAACAGACUGGAAAAAGAGAAAUCCUCCUGCCCCCACGGAGCUAGGGUAGAAGGAUCAACCCCAUUCUCCUCCCCAUGGAGCAGUCUCAGCUUCCAGUCAAGGACUUGGCUUGCUGGUAGGCUUCUCAGUUGAAAGGAGCAGAAGCCCCGACUCAGACAGGUGUGAACCAGGAGGAAGUGUGUGAGCCCACAUCCAGAGGUCCGGGAAGGAAUGCAGAUGACAGGGCUGGAGCACCAGCAGCCAUGUUGGGCUAUAAGAUGACCUUGAAGAAGGAAGUUAUGCACUGAAGACAGAGGAACAUAAAGAUAGAAGGUACCUGGGUCCCAGAGAACACUGUAUGGUCACCACACCAGCCCUGGACCAUCUACCUCAG